GACGAACGCUGGCGGCGCGCCUAACACAUGCAAGUCGAACGGAGUUACCCUGAAUGAAGUUUUCGGAUGGAUUUUGGAUUAACUUAGUGGCGAACGGGUGAGUAACGCGUGAGUAACCUGCCCUGGAGUGGGGGACAACAGUUGGAAACGACUGCUAAUACCGCAUAAGCCCACAGUGCCGCAUGGCACAGCGGGAAAAGAUUUAUUCGCUUCAGGAUGGACUCGCGUCCAAUUAGCUAGUUGGUGAGGUAACGGCCCACCAAGGCGACGAUUGGUAGCCGGACUGAGAGGUUGAACGGGCCACAUUGGGACUGAGACACGGCCCAGACUCCUACGGGAGGCAGCAGUGGGGGGAUAUUUGCACAAUGGGGGAAACCCUGAUGCAGCGACGCCGCGUGGAGGAAGAAGGUUUUUCGGAUUGUAAAACUCCUGUCGUUAGGGACGAUAAUGACGGGUACCUAAACAAGAAAAGCA
rnacentral:rRNA from 1 species